rnacentral:rRNA from 1 species
AUUGAACGCUGGCGGCAGGCUUAACACAUGCAAGUCGAGCGGAGAGAGGUAGCUUGCUACUGAUCUUAGCGGCGGACGGGUGAGUAAUGCUUAGGAACCUGCCUAUUAGUGGGGGCCAACAUUUGAAAAGAAAUGCAAAUCCGGCAUACGUCUUAGGGAAGAAAGAGGGGAAUCUCGGGACUUGCCGUAAAUAGAUGAGCCUAAGUGGGAUUAGCUAGUUGGUGGGGUAAAGGCCUACCAAGGCGACGAUCUGUAGCGGGUCUGAGAGGAUGAUCCGCCACACUGGGACUGAGACACGGCCCAGACUCCUACGGGAGGCAGCAGUGGGGAAUAUUGGACAAUGGGCGGAAGCCUGAUCCAGCCAUGCCGCGUGUGUGAAGAAGGCCUUAUGGUUGUAAAGCACUUUAAGCGAGGAGGAGGCUACUUUAGUUAAUACCUAGAGAUAGUGGACGUUACUCGCAGAAUAAGCACCGGCUAACUCUGUGCCAGCCGCCGCAGUAACAC